rnacentral:lncRNA from 1 species
CAGCAAACUCCGACGUGGGUGAGAGAGAAUAGAGGAAAGAGAAGAAGCUUGUCGUGGCCGGCGUCGCCGAGCGAUUCGCCCAUCUACGUGACUACCAGGCGUCCAGUUUGUCGAUUUGUGGGACACUUCAUCGGUGGUGAGCUCGGGAAAGACGCAGCUGGAUGGUGGAGCACCCUUCGACGAAAAGAUAAGUGGUGUGCUUGGAACCCUUGCCGCCGCUCGCCUCGCCAGGCAAAGCAAGGCAAGCUCCGAAGGGAGCGUUUGCUUUCCUUGCUGCUACUUGCCUUGCCUCCCCUGCAGCUCCAUCCAGCAGCGUCGGAGCUCGAUUCGGCAGCAGCGGAGCUCGAUCCGACCAUGGUGGAGGUCAAUCCAACAGUGGCGGAGGUCGAAUCGACAACGGCUGAGGUCAAAUCGACGGUGGCGGAGGUCGAUUCGGUGCAUGCAGAGUUUGAUUCAACGACGACGGAGCUUGAUUUGGUGUGCGUCUCGAUUUGACGACGGCGAAGCUUGUUGCAGCAGCUAUGGUGUCGAUUCGACGGUGGCUCGAGCAGCCCACACAAGCACGCGAGCGGGCGAGCGAACCUUGCCCACACAUGAGAGUUGAUUUUGACUCUCCUGCAUCGGCAAGGAUCUCCUUGCCAGCCGAGCAAGCUGGCCGGGCAAAGAGGCGAGGCGAGCCUCCUGCAAGAGUACCAAGCGCGCCCAAGAUAUGUUAUUGGUGGGUCCCAUCAUAAAAAAUGUUUCUUGAAAUUUGUGAAAAAGACUAAUUGUUGUAUGCAAGGUUGGUCUACUGACGAUCUGGCUUGUCUGUAAGACAAGUUUAUUGGGCUUACUCUAGUAACUGACGGAGCUUGUUGCUUGGAACGGAAGUGUUGGAUCCUUCGUAGCUCAAGACCUAAGCGACGGAACCACACGCACAUAACUGACGGCGCUUGUUGCUUGUCAAAAGUAAACGAGGUCCGUCAAACGAAAUAGUAUUAUGUUAGGAGAUGAUGGUUGGAUAUGCGUGCAGCCACGCUGACAGUUUCCUAACGCUAUGGAUACACGGUACGAAAAUACUACUAUCAUCGAGAUCCUGGACAUCAGGUGGUACUAGGCGUUGACGGAAAACACGAACGGUGCUGAAUGUCUGAACAUAAUGAAAAGAAGACGUUGAUUCUCAUGUGUAUAGUUCCCAUACAACAGGUCCUGAUUGAUUCUCAUGUAUCAG